CCUACGGGAGGCAGCAGUGGGGAAUAUUGCACAAUGGGCGCAAGCCUGAUGCAGCCAUGCCGCGUGUGUGAAGAAGGCCUUCGGGUUGUAAAGCACUUUCAGCGGGGAGGAAGGCGGUGAGGUUAAUAACCUCAUCGAUUGACGUUACCCGCAGAAGAAGCACCGGCUAACUCCGUGCCAGCAGCCGCGGUAAUACGGAGGGUGCAAGCGUUAAUCGGAAUUACUGGGCAUAAAGCGCACGCAGGCGGUCUGUCAAGUCGGAUGUGAAAUCCCCGGGCUCAACCUGGGAACUGCAUUCGAAACUGGCAGGCUAGAGUCUUGUAGAGGGGGGUAGAAUGCCAGGUGUAGCGGUGAAAUGCGUAGAGAUCUGGAGGAAUACCGGUGGCGAAGGCGGCCCCCUGGACAAAGACUGACGCUCAGGUGCGAAAGCGUGGGGAGCAAACAGGAUUAGAUACCCCGGUAGUC
rnacentral:rRNA from 1 species